rnacentral:rRNA from 1 species
GUGGAUUAGAUACCCUGGUAGUCCACGCCCUAAACGAUGUCAACUAGUUGUCGGGGAAGCAAUUCCUUGGUAACGCAGCUAACGCGUGAAGUUGACCGCCUGGGGAGUACGGUCGCAAGAUUAAAACUCAAAGGAAUUGACGGGGACCCGCACAAGCGGUGGAUGAUGUGGAUUAAUUCGAUGCAACGCGAAAAACCUUACCUACCCUUGACAUGUCCAGAAUCCUGCUGAAAGGCGGGAGUGCCCGAAAGGGAAUUGGAACACAGGUGCUGCACGGUUGUCGCCAACU